UGCCAACACAAUGCCCCCAGAUAACGGUAAGAUGUCGUAAAAACACCAAAAGUAAGCAUUUCAAGCGCAAUGAGACUUGAUCGAUUUUUAUAUUUUAUAUUGUAGUACAUAGUCUAUGUAAAACAGAGCUGUAAAAAGAAAUCCUGCAACAACUUUAGCAACUGAAUCAGAUUUUCAAUAUGAGGUUGUGCAUUUUUUGUGUGGUGCAUCAGACCGCAAUGGCGGACAAAAAGUUAAACUAGACCAAAAAAACAAACAAGCCAAGAAAAAAGUGAUGCCUACAUCAAGUUUUCCAAUGCCAUUAAAUAAAGAGACAUUUUUUAGUUCAGAAGAUGAAUAACAUUGUUAAAUAAAAUAAGCAUCUUUGUUUACAAUAACCUCUUGUCUAUGAGAUUGUAGAUGAGAAUUUGAAUCGUGAUAUUGAAUCUUACCAGAGAAUAAAGAAACCGUUUACCUCAACCAGAUUUAUAUUUCAUAGAAUUAUGUUGACCAUGGUCCAAAUAUUGCCAUGGAUGUGCACUUGUGUCUAAGGCUUAUGCUUUGCAAAAGGUUCACCAUUGUACUUAAGUUGCUGUGGGUUUUAUGGUUUUACUUCCAACCUGGCAUAUAAAUGCACUUAGUAUCUGAAGUUAUUUGUCAAUAACUGGUGAUCAGACUAUUUCAAACGAACACGUUUUUAAGGGCUUAGUUUCUUAUCUUUGUUGUAUUAGCUCUAAACUUGACUGUUUCAAUAUUUUCAUUAUAUAUAAAUUGCCUGUUUUUAGGUGAAAGUUAGAAGUCUGCAGACUGCAACGUAAAUCAAUUUUCAACACAUGGUUUCCUGAAUAUAUUUAGUUUUCGAUUGAAAUGAGAAUAAACUGAACUUAUAGAUAUGUUGAAAAUUAACUAUUUUAUCUUUUAAACGUUCGCUAAACGCAAGUGAAGCAAUAAUCUAUAGAUGCAAAUAUACUUUAUAUUUUGCUUUAGUUUAAAAAAAAAAUUAUUGUUACUUUUAUAUUCAUGUUGUAAUUGUAAAUUGCAAUUUUAAAAUGAUUUUUAUUAUAA